AAGGAGAGGCUCCUGAAGAAGUACAGACUCUGUGGCCGCAGCAGGACGUUUCAGAAUGUUUCUCCGUCAACUCAAUAUGUCUUCGAUCUGAGAGUCUCUGAUCAGUUGGACAGAUGGAUGAACUGCUCUAACCAAGAUAUGAGUGGCCAGCAUAUUCUUUCAAAACACUCCCUAAAAACAAGGAAUACUUCCUAAACUGUCCGGCUUACUCUCUGAGAGGGAUGAGGCACAACAUUCAGCUAUGCCAGAAACUUUAGUUGUGAUAACUAAAAGGUGGGAAAUUUGUCGUGAAUCGGGAAAAAAUAAAUAAAUCUCCUAGGGAAAAUCAUCAAUGUUGGAUCUGAUCGCUGGAGCUCCAGAUGGCUCCGCGUGGCUUCCUCUCUUCCUCCGAAAACGAAGGCUGCAAUUACGGAACAAAACCCGACGUGAUUCAUCUACUUUCUAUUUCCAGCUGCCGCUUGCGCUUUCACACCUUCAACAACCACCACUCAACUUUCUCCUCUAACUGAACAUCAGACUUCGGGGGCUCUCAGAAACUGCCUGGGAAAAAAACACAAGUUUCCUCUCACAGAAGAUGAGAAAUUAGACCAAAAUGUGUGUUUUGUUUAAUAAAGGAGGAGCAGCCACCCUGAGACUUGUCCCUCCUGUGCUGUGUGCUGUAGUAACGGCAGUGUUAGCUAAUAAUAACUGAUGCUUCACAGCAAACGAGCGAUGCUAAUGUGGAGGAGGCUGAUUGUAGUCGCCCGGUCACGGCUGUGAGGAAUGUCUCUGGAAGGGAAAAUGAACUUUAUUCUUAAAUUACAGGCCCCUCUGUGGCGGACGCGCCUGUCCUAUUAUGUGCUAAUUAGAAGACGCUUGGGACGUUUUAGCUAACGAGCCUGGGAUAAUUUUAACCCUCCGCAUGGCUGCAGAGAGACAUGCAGCAUGUACAACCACAUACAGUCGGAAUAUGAACAUAUGGCUCAGCUUACACAAAACAGAUGCACACACACACACACACACACACACACACACACACACACACACUUCUUCAUACAUUCGCAGGCUCCCAGCAUGCACCAGCUUAGCUGCCGCUGUGCUAAUUGGCUUGAUGUGGUUCUGAAAAUAGUGUCUGUACAAUCCCCUGUCUGCCUUCAGAAAAGAUCAUGCCCUUUUAAUUCAGAGUCCCAGCAGGCCGUCAAUAGGAAAUGGCUCUGAAUGA